AAACAAUUAAGGCCCCCUUACUUUCUCACUCGCUCUCUGGUCUCGAUCGACCUCUCUCUCUCCCAACCCUCUCUAAACCCUAAUCUCUCUCAACCGAUCGAAUCAGCCUUGAUUUGAUCUCAAAGCGAUUGGUGAUUCAUCUCAGAUCCAAUCUCAGAGCGAUUGGCAAUUUCAAUUUUGAAAUUUCAAAGCUCCACCGCCUCCACCAUCUGCACCGGCGAGGGAAGCAAGGACCAUCGUCUACUAAGGAUCAAAGUAAUGGUGUGUCGAGCUUAGCAAAUGUCAAAUGCAAGUUGUUGCAUUGGGAGGGGUCAAACUUGGUGGUAGCAAAAGGCCAAAUUGCAUCAAGGGAUCCCAAGUCAAAGGUGUAUCAUGCAACUCUUGGACCUUUGUGUUGGAAAGUCUGGGUGAACCACGUAACAGUCAACGUGCCGUUGUUUCGUUCUACUCGUGAGAUGUAUGAUCUGAAAGAUGCAAUAGGAAGUACAGUUGCAUGGCCUAGUCAAUUCAUUAUUUUGGACUAAAUAUUGGACUAAUUGAUUUACGAUUUGUAGUUAUACUUUUUGGAUGUUUAAAGUCAUAUUUUAGAGAUUAGUGAAUCUUAUGAUUUGAAUACUUUUUUUGAUUUGUAUGUUUGAGAUUGUUAUCAGCUUGAUAUGAUAGAAGUUGGGGAUAAAAGUUAGUA